rnacentral:tRNA from 1 species
GGACCGGUAGCUCAGUUGGAUAGAGCAGCUGCCUUCUAAGCAGCAGGUCAUUGGUUCGAAUCCAAUCCGGUUCACGA